AGUACUAAAGUUCACCGUUGCCUCAUUUUAUAUCACAUUCCAAUGAUAAAACCGGGGGGGGGGGGGGGGGGGGGGGGACAUUUCAGAAUGUGGGGGGGACAUGCGCCCCUGCAUAAAUGGUUUGUCAAGAUUGGUGUGGAAGAACUUGACUGGCCUGACCUCAACCCCAUCAAACACCUUCGGGAUGAAUUGGAACACCGACUGCGAGCCAGGCUUAAUCGCCCAACAUCAGUGCCCGAACUCACUAAUGCAAGUCCCAGCAGCAAUGUUCCAACAUCUAGUGAAAAGCCUUCACAGACGAGUGGAGGCUGUUAUAGCAGCAAAAGGGGGACAAACUCCAUAUUAAUGCCCAUGAUUUUUUAAUGAGAUGUUCGACGAGCAGGUGCCCACAGACGUUUGGUCAUGUAGUGUAUAUUAAUAUAAUUACUAACUUAUUCCCUGUCUUUCAAGAUAAAAUAAUCGAUGGCAAAGUGAUAAAUAACAUAAAUCAAAUUGUAUAGGCGCGGCGGCGAUAACGUUGAAGACCCUUUGAGUGCGCAUUCGUGUGUAGAGUGGCUGCGCGCUCUGACACCCGUGACUCCAGAGUGCGAGCUGGGCUUUCGGCUUUGACAGUCAGUCUUGUCACACAUCGUUUCGAAAGAUGUUGGGUACGGACGACCACAGGGACAAUCUGAAACGGAACGGGACAGGAAGGAAGCGUCCGUUCAGCCCACCCUCAGUGUUAGAGAUGGAGGAGGACAGGAGCGGGUUAGGAGUGGGGAUGGGGUUGACUGUGGACAGCGAGGUGUGCUGUGACCCCCAGGAGGAGGGUGUAGUCCUGGGGGAGCAGCCAGGUCCAGUUGGGGGCGCCCUGCCCUCCUCUGACCACAGCAGGCCCAAGAGAGAGAGGAAACAGCGCAGUUAUACACUGUGUGACGUGUGUAACAUCCAGCUCAACUCCCCAGCCCAGGCCCAGAUACACUACAACGGCAAGUCUCACCAGAAGAGACUCAAACAGAUGAGCAACGGGAAGGUCCAGCACGGCAACACAGGUAGGACACCCCACCCACUUUCUGCGCUACUCUGCGGCUGGACCCUAUUCUAACCCCUAACUGUUCGACAAAAAGGCUUGCAAAAGGGUUCUGCGGCUGUCCCCAUAGGACAACUCGUUUCAGUUCCAGGUAGAACCCUUUGUGGUUCCAGGUAGAACUAUUUUGGGUUCUAUGUAUAACCCCCUGUGGAAAGGUUCUUCAAAGGGUUCUCCUAUGGGCACAGCCAAAGAACCGUUUUUGAUUCAAGAUAGAAAACCGUUUUCUGUGAGUGUACAGUACUCUACUCUUCUGUAACACUCUGAGGCGGCUCACCUCUAUACUCCCUUACCAGCUGAUGAGAGGAAUGAUAGCGUGCACACUUGUGACAACGUGUGAAUAUGAGUUCUACCCCCCAAUGACACAUCAAGCUGCAUUAUAUAACCUAGUAAGGUGCAUCGGUACUCUGUUGUACGUGUUUCAUCAUACGUUCAGCACUUUUCUAAGAGGACGCUGUGAUAAUGAGUAUGACAAGUGAACAUGGAGAGCUGCUACAGAUGUAGGAUCUUAAUCUGAUCGCCCUGUUGCAGGAGGACUUUGUUGGAAUUGUAUUUCAGGUUUAAAAAGGUUUCUGAAGUUUGUAAUUCCCACGCUGAAUUUUCAGACAUGUCUUUCCUUUUUUUUUUUUAUAUCAACGCCUACAAAAAUGUUGAUGAAUUAUAAUCCACAUAAUCAUUCACAUUUCCUGUUGCUGCAGGACAAUUUUCCUGCUGUAGCAAACUGGCUCAACCUGUAUAGCUGUGUUGUGUCAUGACUCUCAGUACAGGAGUACUAGUGUGGUUUAGAAGAGUGUAUGGAAGUGUGUAUAGUGUAGACGUGUGCAUGGUGCUAUAUAGUCUUCCCUAGCCUGAGGCUGGACACGAGGGAGGAGAACAAAGCUGAGUUAAGUCAUUAAUUGGCUGACUAAUUUAUUGCUGGUUAUUUUAGAUCGUUCUGGUUCCUGCUCGCUCCGGGGUAGCUACAGCAGUGGCUGCAGUGGAGGUGCAGGUUUUCCCCAUAGAUUUGAAUAUAUAGUGAAACUGGCUACAUGUUCAGAGGUGAGUCCUUUCUGUCUCCCACUCUCUCUUUACUUGUGACCCUCCUACGCAGCUCGAAAACACUCUGACAAACCUGGAGAAUCUGCUCUCAAACACUCAUCACUCACUCUUGAAUACUCUAUCUCUAUUUCUCUCUCUCUCUCACACACACACACACACACACACACACACACACACACACAUGCACACACACACAUCUCCGCAUGAAAACUAGUCUGACCCACUUCAGGUGCAGAAAUCUCGUACAAACAGCACAUAAUUACAUAGCAACGGAGAGCACGGCAACGCUUGCCAUGGCCACAGAUUAUUUGGCCCUGAUUGGCUGCUGGCAGGCUGCUGGCAGGCUGCUGUAGGCAUGGUGGUGCAGUGUGUUUCUACUCCAACCCUGUAGGGGGCAGCAGUGGGGCCAGACCGCCCUUGAGAUUGCCUGGGGAACCAUGGUACAUCUGACUCAGCACUACAGGAAGGUACACAAACAGUCAAUAGUCACCCGCUUAGGUCGUUCAGAUAACUGGCUUUGGCAGUUAGCAUACAUCUGUGAUGGCUGUGUGUAAACACAGUGUAACAGCAGUAAUCUGGGAAGCAGAGAGAUCACGACACACACAUACAAACAUACCACCACUCCUCCUCUCUUCUCCCGUCUCUCUCUUACUCUCACUCUCUCCCUUCCCCUCUCACCCUCCCUUCAACCUCCCUCUCUCCUCUCCCCCUCUCUCUCUCACCCUCCACCUUCCCUCUCUCCCUCUUCGCUCUCUGGAGUCACACAAGGAAUAGUCGGCUUAGUAAUGCAGCCAUGCUGCCUGCAGGUGUGCUGCUCAUGUGGACGUCCUUCUUUGCAGUCCUCCCAACCGUCCUCCUUUCCCUUUCCUGAUUGCUUCAUUGCUUCAGUGAGCCAGCACGCAGAGCCCAGCCCAGCCCAGUGCCUUGUGGCCAGUCAGUCUUUAAGAAGGAUGGGCAGAAUGAGGCCUGACGUGGCCACUGACCGUCACUGUCUAAAACCUGGGUCAGCUAGGGCAUGGUCUGACUCAGACACACACACAGGAUUUGUCCCCAGCACCCUGGCACAGCUCCUGCAGCGGAGAGAGAUGGGGUGAGAGAGAGAGAGAGAAGGGGAGGGAGUGUGUGAGUGUGUGUGGUGUACGGUGCAGAUUCCCUCUGACACACAGUCACAAUCAUGCAGCCUUAUCUGUGCUCACCUUCUGCUGACUCCCACAGGCCCACGGCCUCAGCUCACACACACACACACACACACACACACACACACACACACACACACACACACACACACACACACACAUUGCAAACAUGUGUGGAUCAUUGCAAUCUGUGUGGAUGUUGAAGGGUGUGUGAUGUGUGUUUACAGUAUGUAAAUGUCUAUUCCUGUGUGUUUUUAUGUGUGUUUGUUUGUGUGUGUUUGUUUGUGUGUGUGUGUGUGCGUGCGUUUGUGUGUGUGCCUCCGAAAGAAUCCUCUCCAUGUCAGCUUGUGUUACCCUUCCUCUCUGCCUCACUGAACGGACAGAGGGUCCAGGCUUUUCUGCUCUCUCUCUCUCUCUCUCUCUCUCUCUCUCUCUCUCUCUCUCUCUCGUUCUCUCUCUCUCUCUCUCUCUCACAGGGUGAUGGGCAACCACAGUGAAUCUAAAAAGGCUUUAAUUUCAGUUUCAGCUGUAUUUGAUGAUACAACUUUACUUAGCGUGUUCAGGAAUAAUGCAUUGUCAGUUGUUAUAAGCAUGUAUAAGCCCCUACUGUGUCUUCUAAAUAAACUGAAAUGUGUUAUUUCUCUCCUUGUUAUUUUGCUUUACAUAUUCUAAAUGGCUACUAUACUUUUUUAGUCCUUUUGUGGUCCUUUCCUGGUCAUUUCCAAACCUCUUCAAACUACUCCUAUAACAAAAUAACAACUGAGAAACACAUGAUGCGAAAACAAGUAUUAUUUAUUAGAAAAUAUGCUAUUGUAUUAUUUGGAAUGCAGAUGAACAAUGUCCUGUAUGGGCACGUUAUUCCUGUAUGGGUACGUUAUUCCUGUAUGGGCACGUUAUUCCUGUAUGGGUACGUUAUUCCUGUAUGGGUACGUUAUUCCUGUAUGGGUACGUUAUUCAGUGUUUCCCCUUGUUGGACCGGCGGCGGCGGCGGGCUCUCUUCUUAGUUGAACCACGGGAUGUCACCCACACUGGAGCUGUUUGAGCAUCUUUACAGCCAUCUGUCUCCCUCUCAGCUCCUCUCUCCUUGUGUUCAUCUCCAUGGAGCUCGAAUGCAGCCAUUAUCUAUGGAAAUAAAAUAAACCUAAACAAAUACAUAUUUUCAUUCAUGUUCCAAUGUGAAAUGUAUAGAUAACAUUGUGGUGUUUUCUUAAGUAUUUAUAGUGGCAUGUACAGUAAGUAAAAUGUCAGCAGUAUAUAUAACUGCAUUGGGUAAAUGUCACCAUUUGGACCUAGUCUAAUGUUGUUCCUAAAGCCUUUCUCAGACC
rnacentral:lncRNA from 1 species